rnacentral:piRNA from 1 species
UGGUUGUUGUACUGAAAAUACAGAAAGGUGU